rnacentral:lncRNA from 1 species
GUUUUGAACAUGAAGGUGUGCUGUAUUUUGUCAAAUGCUUUUUUUUCUGAAUCUAUUGAGAUGAUCAUAUGAUUCUUUUUGUUAAGUCUAUAAAUCUGAUGAAUUACAUUUAUUGAUUUCUAUAUGUUGAACCAACCCUGCAUCCCUGGGAUAAAUCCCACUUGAUCGUGGUGUACUAUCUUUGAGGUAUGUCUUUGUAUGCGAUUUGCCAGAAUUUUAUUGAGAAUUUUUGCAUCUAUGUUUAUCAGGAAUAUUGGUCUGAAGUUUUCUUUCCUUGGUGUGUCUUUGGUUUUGGUACCACGGUGAUACUGACCUCAUAGAAUGAGUUUAGAAGGGUUCCUUCCUUUUGUAAUUCAUGGAAUAAUUUGAGGAGUAUUGGUGUUAAUUUUUCUUGAAAGUCUUGUAGAACUCUGCUGAGAAUCCAUCUGGUCCUGAGCUUUUCUUGGUUGGUAGGCUUUUGAUGGUGUUUUCUAUUUCAUUACUUGAAAUUGAUCUGUUUAAAUCAUAUAUGACCUUCUCAUUCUGUUUGGGUAGAUUGUAUAUCUCUAGAAAAUUGUUGAUGUCUUUGAUAUUUUCUAUUUUAUUAGAGUAUGAAUUUUCAAAAUAUUUUCUAAUUAUCUUCUGUAUUUCAGACAAGUCCAUUGUGAUAUUUUCUUCUUCAUCUUGUAGUCUAGUAAUUUGAGUUUUCUCUCUUUGUCUCUUCACUUGCAUGGCCAGGGGUUUACCUAUUUUAUUUAUUUUUCAUAGAACCAACUCUUUGUUUUGUCAAUUUUUUUUCAAUUGUUUCUUUUCUUUUAAUUUCAUUGAUUUCAGUUCUGCUUUUGAUUAUUUCCUAUUUGAUUUCAUUUCUUAUACCAUCCUUUACUUCACAAGCCAGUUUAACUAUGU